CACAUUGGGACUGAGACACGGCCCAAACUCCUACGGGAGGCUGCAGUAGGGAAUCUUCCACAAUGGGCGAAAGCCUGAUGGAGCAACGCCGCGUGUGUGAUGAAGGCUUUCGGGUCGUAAAGCACUGUUGUAUGGGAAGAAAAGUUAAGGUAGGGAAUGACCUUAGCCUGACGGUACCAUACCAGAAAGGGACGGCUAAAUACGUGCCAGCAGCCGCGGUAAUACGUAUGUCCCGAGCGUUAUCCGGAUUUAUUGGGCGUAAAGCGAGCGCAGACGGUUGGUUAAGUCUGAUGUGAAAGCCCGGAGCUCAACUCCGGAAAGGCAUUGGAAACUGGUUAACUUGAGUGCAGUAGAGGUAAGUGGAACUCCAUGUGUAGCGGUGGAAUGCGUAGAUAUAUGGAAGAACACCAGCGGCGAAGGCGGCUUACUGGACUGUAACUGACGUUGAGGCUCGAAAGUGUGGGUAGCAAACAGGAUUAGAUACCCUGGUAGUCCACACCGUAAACGAUGAACACUAGGUGUUAGGAGGUUUCCGCCUCUUAGUGCCGAAGCUAACGCAUUAAGUGUUCCGCCUGGGGAGUACGACCGCAAGGUUGAAACUCAAAGGAAUUGACGGGGACCCGCACAAGCGGUGGAGCAUGUGGUUUAAUUCGAAGCAACGCGAAGAACCUUACCAGGUCUUGACAUCCUUUGAAGCUUUUAGAAAUAGAAGUGUUCUCUUCGGAGACAAAGUGACAGGUGGUGCAUGGUCGUCGUCAGCUCGUGUCGUGAGAUGUUGGGUUAAGUCCCGCAACGAGCGCAACCCUUAUUGUUAGUUGCCAGCAUUCAGAUGGGCACUCUAGCGAGACUGCCGGUGACAAACCGGAGGAAGGCGGGGACGACGUCAGAUCAUCAUGCCCCUUAUGACCUGGGCUACACACGUGCUACAAUGGCGUAUACAACGAGUUGCCAACCUGCGAAGGUGAGCUAAUCUCUUAAAGUACGUCUCAGUUCGGACUGCAGUCUGCAACUCGACUGCACGAAGUCGGAAUCGCUAGUAAUCGCGGAUCAGCACGCCGCGGUGAAUACGUUCCCGGGUCUUGUACACACCGCCCGUCACACCAUGGAAGUUUGUAAUGCCCAAAGCCGGUGGCCUAACCGUAAGGAGGAACC
rnacentral:rRNA from 1 species